UGGGGAAUAUUGCACAAUGGGCGCAAGCCUGAUGCAGCAACGCCGCGUGAGGGACGACGGCCUUCGGGUUGUAAACCUCUUUUAGUAGGGAAGAAGCGAAAGUGACGGUACCUGCAGAAAAAGCACCGGCUAACUACGUGCCAGCAGCCGCGGUAAUACGUAGGGUGCGAGCGUUGUCCGGAAUUAUUGGGCGUAAAGAGCUCGUAGGCGGUCUGUCGCGUCUGCUGUGAAAACCCGAGGCUCAACCUCGGGCCUGCAGUGGGUACGGGCAGACUAGAGUGCGGUAGGGGAGAAUGGAAUUCCUGGUGUAGCGGUGGAAUGCGCAGAUAUCAGGAGGAACACCGAUGGCGAAGGCAGUUCUCUGGGCCGUAACUGACGCUGAGGAGCGAAAGCGUGGGGAGCGAACAGGAUUAGAUACCCUGGGUAGUCCACGCCGUAAACGUUGGGCGCUAGAUGUGGGGCACCAUUCCACGGUUUCCGUGUCGCAGCUAACGCAUUAAGCGCCCCGCUGGGGAGUACGGCCGCAAGGCUAAAACU
rnacentral:rRNA from 1 species